CGGACGGGUGAGUAAUGCCUAGGAAUCUGCCUGGUAUGGGGGACAACGUUUCGAAAGGAACGCUAAUACCGCAUACGUCCUACGGGAGAAAGCAGGGGACCUUCGGGCCUUGCGCUAUCAGAUGAGCCUAGGUCGGAUUAGCUAGUUGGUGAGGUAAUGGCUCACCAAGGCGACGAUCCGUAACUGGUAUGAGAGGAUGAUCAGUCACACUGGAACUGAGACACGGUCCAGACUCCUACGGGAGGCAGCAGAA
rnacentral:rRNA from 1 species